GAUGAACGCUGGCGGCGUGCCUAAUACAUGCAAGUCGAGCGAACAGAUGAGGAGCUUGCUCCUCUGACGUUAGCGGCGGACGGGUGAGUAACACGUGGAUAACCUACCUAUAAGACUGGGAUAACUUCGGGAAACCGGAGCUAAUACCGGAUAAUAUAUUGAACCGCAUGGUUCAAUAGUGAAAGACGGUUUUGCUGUCACUUAUAGAUGGAUCCGCGCCGCAUUAGCUAGUUGGUAAGGUAACGGCUUACCAAGGCAACGAUGCGUAGCCGACCUGAGAGGGUGAUCGGCCACACUGGAACUGAGACACGGUCCAGACUCCUACGGGAGGCAGCAGUAGGGAAUCUUCCGCAAUGGGCGAAAGCCUGACGGAGCAACGCCGCGUGAGUGAUGAAGGUCUUCGGAUCGUAAAACUCUGUUAUUAGGGAAGAACAAAUGUGUAAGUAACUAUGCACGUCUUGACGGUACCUAAUUAGAAAGCCACGGCUAACUACGUG
rnacentral:rRNA from 1 species